GACCUGGUGGUGGAUGGUUCACACCUACCCUCUGUUUGCCAUCUGUGGAAAUAAGGCAGGAGUCCCGGUUCGAUUCCAGGCCAGGUCA